UACGUAGGUGGCAAGCGUUUGUCCGGAAUUACUGGGUGUAAAGCGCGUGUAGGCGGGAGGCCAAGUCUGCUGUGAAAUCGCUCGGCUCAACUGGGCGGGGUCGGUGGAAACUGGUCACCUGGAGGACGGUAGAGGCGAGUGGAAUUCCCGGUGUAGUGGUGAAAUGCGUAGAGAUCGGGAGGAACACCAGUGGCGAAGGCGGCUCGCUGGGCCGGUCCUGACGCUGAGACGCGCAAAGGCGUGGGAGGGCGAACGGG
rnacentral:rRNA from 1 species